CCCAGACGACGCCGUUGUAAACCUCAGACCUCACAAGCUUGCCAGCAAAAUACCUGAUCGUCGACGGCAAGUAAUUCGAGCCUAACCCGAAACAUCUGGUUCUCCACAAGCGUGUUAACCUUCGGAUCUUGGAUCGUGGUGCAGUGAAUUGAGAUCGGGAGAUCCGUUGUUUAGACUAACGGCGAGAACGAGGUCUGUUGUACUCGUGGUCGAACGCCAGCGAGUCCAAAGCAUAGCGGAGCCGCAGUCGAGAAGCUUCAGCGAGUUGAGGUCGUGGAUUUGGACGAUGACCUUCGACGACCAAAAGCCUGGAACCUCCGGUCUCCACUCUGUAACUUGAUUCGG
rnacentral:lncRNA from 1 species